rnacentral:rRNA from 1 species
UUCUAUGACCUGUUCUCACCCUCAUGCUCUGAUCCCAUCAGGUCUCACAUGCUAAGCAGCGUCAGGCCUGCUCAGUACCCUGACGGCUGAGCCUCAAGAAAUCCCAGGACACUGCAGAAA